rnacentral:rRNA from 1 species
GAGUUUGAUCGUGGCUCAGGACGAACGCUGGCGGCGUGCUUAACACAUGCAAGUCGAACGGAAAGGCCCUGCUUUUGUGGGGUGCUCGAGUGGCGAACGGGUGAGUAACACGUGAGUAACCUGCCCUUGACUUUGGAUAACUUCAGGAAACUGGGGCUAAUACCGGAUAGGAGCUCCUGCUGCAUGGUGGGGGUUGGAAAGUUUCGGCGGUUGGGGAUGGACUCGCGGCUUAUCAGCUUGUUGGUGGGGUAGUGGCUUACCAAGGCUUUGACGGGUAGCCGGCCUGAGAGGGUGACCGGCCACAUUGGGACUGAGAUACGGCCCAGACUCCUACGGGAGGCGAGCAGUGGGGAAGUAUUGCACAAUGGGCGGAAGCCUGAUGCAGCAACGCCGCGUGCGGGAUGACGGCCUGGUU